CAGCCCUGCCUGGUCACUGCCCUGCGGCCGAGGCCUUGGCUGGGCAGUGGAGGUGGCGAGCCCAGGCCCCGAGGACUCGAUCGUCUCCCUGCAGAGCGAGCCGGUGUUGGCCGGUUGCAGCAACAGCUUUCUGUGAGCAAUCCUGAGGGGUUGUGCUGGUUUAAAGUGUAAGAACUUAGCUAAAUCAAACUCUGCGAGCUUCUGAGUGACGGGAGUUCCUUUCUGCGUGUGAGGAAACACAGUGAUUUCAUAAGAUUCAAUAAGGAGUUUUUAACAACAAUACCAGAUCAUACUCAGCUCUCAGGAUCUUACUCUUCAGGUGUGCUGG